rnacentral:lncRNA from 1 species
UCGGAAGCUUCGUGCCAAACGGUUUCAAGAUGCAGAAGCGAAAGCAGCAGAGCAAGCCAAGAAUGGCCCCUGCAGCCCACUGCCCUCCGGCCACUAUGACUGCCCUCCAGCCACUGCCCUUCAUCAUCAAGAAUGAGCUCCUCCUUGUUUGAUAACUUUGAUCACAUCUUGGGUUUGAUGUAGAAUGUUUGUAUGAUGGAUAUUUUUUCAAUGUAGAAUGAUAAAGAAUAUUUGAAAUUAAUGAAUGACAUUUUUAUUAUUCGU